ACACAGGACCGCUCUGUGGCAAUCGCGAUAGGCAAGCAGGUCAGCUCAGAUGUUUUAUCUCUUUACUAAAACUGGCGGUGGCGGUGGCGGUGGCGGUGGCGGUGGCGGUGGCGGUGGCGGCGGUGGGCGUGUCUAGAGGCGGAGUAGGAUUUCUUUGUUCCUGAUAAGAGAGUGCGGAUCUCUGCAGAGGAGAGGAGUUCCUUUUGAUUCCCUUAUUUAUACAGCCAUGGCCUCCCUCCAACUGUGUUAUGCCCCUCCUUAUUCUUCUGCUCACUACAACAAUAACAAUGCCAGUGGUUUCCCCCAAGCGUGUUACCGCCCAACCUUUCCAAUCCCUAAUUUCACCAGAAAAGCCCUUCUUUCCGGUUUUGUCUGGAGAGAACCAGAGUCUCAUUUGCCAGUUAGGAAACACUCUUCCUGCCGCUGCCACGCUCUUGGUGGCGGGGGUCAGCAGCGCCCGGAGUACCUUCCGAACCGGAUAGACGACCUGCAGUAUGUCCGCAUAUUCGACACGACGCUGCGGGAUGGGGAACAGAGCCCGGGGGCAUCGAUGACGAGCAAGGAGAAACUUGAUGUGGCCCGCCAGCUAGCACGCCUAGGUGUUGAUAUCAUCGAAGCCGGGUUCCCGAUCGCCUCCCGGGAGGACCUUGAGGCCAUCAAGAUGAUCGCGGCCGAUGUCGGGAGCUUCAUUGAUGACUCGGGGUACGUGCCUGUCAUCUGUGGGCUGGCGAGAUGUAACAAGGCCGACAUUGAUGCCGCAUGGGAGGCAGUACAGCGCGCGGUGAGGCCUAGGAUCCAUAUCUUCAUCGCCACGAGUGAGAUUCACUUGGAGCACAAGCUCAAGAAGACAAGGGAUGAGGUGCUGGAGAUUGCUCGCAGCAUGGUUGCCUACGCCAGAAGCCUUGGCUGCCCCGAUGUUGAGUUCAGCCCGGAGGAUGCUGGGAGAUCUGAUAGGGAAUUUCUUUAUCUAGUUCUCGGAGAGGCUAUAAAGGCCGGUGCAACGACACUCAACAUACCUGAUACAGUCGGAUACACAUUGCCCAGUGAAUAUGGGAAGUUGAUUUCUGACAUCAGAGCCAACACCCCAGGCAUCGAGAAUGUGAUUAUUUCAACCCAUUGCCAAAAUGACCUUGGUCUCGCGUCAUCAAACACAUUGGCGGGGGCUUAUGCAGGAGCACGGCAGUUGGAGGUCACUGUAAAUGGAAUUGGUGAAAGGGCAGGGAAUGCUUCUUUGGAGGAGGUGGUCAUGGCCUUACAUUUGCGGGGAAAGGAGCUGCUGGGGGGACUGUAUACUGGAAUUAACACCAAGCAAAUUGCAAUGGCGAGCAAGAUGGUAACAGAAUAUACUGGGAUGCCUGUACAGCCACAUAAGGCUAUUGUUGGAGCCAAUGCUUUUGCUCAUGAAAGUGGUAUCCAUCAGGAUGGAAUGCUGAAAUUUCAAGGCACAUAUGAAAUUCUUUCUCCUAGUGAUAUUGGAUUGAAUCGCUCUACUGAGUCGGGUAUUGUGCUUGGAAAGCUUAGUGGACGUCAUGCCUUGAAGUCUCGACUUGUACAGCUUGGCUACAACUUGGGGGAAAAGAAGCUUGAUGAUGUCUUUUGGCGCUUCAAAGCCGUGGCUGAGAAAAAAAAGCAUUUAUCUGAUGGUGAUAUUGAGGCGUUGGUUUCAGAUGAAGUUUUCCAGCCGCAAGUUAUUUGGUCUCUUGGUGAUUUGCAGGUCACUUGUGGUACUUCGGGCCUCUCAACAGGAACUGUAAAACUGAUUGGAGCUGAUGGCACUGAGCAUAUUGCAUGUGCGGUUGGAACAGGUCCAGUUGAUGCAGCCUACAAAGCCAUUGAUAGCAUUGUUAAGGUCUCAGUAACUCUUUUGGAGUACUCCAUGAAUGCCGUUACUGAGGGCAUUGAUGCCAUAGCCCACACACGAGUCAUCAUACGCCCCGAACACGGCCACCAUACAUCAACCCAUGCACUCACUGGAGAAACCCUACAUCGAACUUUUAGGUUUUACCAUUAAUAAACUCUUUUGUAAUAUCUUUGUGGAUUUGUUCACCAUUGUACAAUGGAUUAUUGUCAUCCAAAGGGCAUCCACCAGAAGUUCCUCUUGAUGGGUAGUCCAUAUCAACAUUGAUGGCCCAGUGGAGCAUUAAUCACAGUGGAACUGGGGCAGGAAUGGAUAUUGUCGCAUCAAGUGUGCGUGCUUAUGUAAGUGCCCUCAACAAGAUGCUGAGCUUCAGGACCAUAUCGACAAGAAAGGAGACUGUCGAGGGAUGACAAGUCUCGGCUU